rnacentral:rRNA from 1 species
GGGGGGGGGGGGGGGGGGGGGGGGGGGGGGGGGGGCGGGGGGGGGGCGGUGGGGGCGUGCGGCGAGCGGGCUUAGGGGCGGACGGGUGAGUAACGCGGAAUCAACCUGCCCUUCAGAGGGGGACAACAGUUGGAGACGACUGCUAAUACCGCAUACGAUCCAAUCUCGGCAUCGGGACUGGAUGAAAGGUGGCCUCUAUUUAUAAGCUAUCACUGAAGGGGGGGAUUGCGUCUGAUUAGCUAGUUGGAGGGGUAACGGCCCACCAAGGCGAUGAUCAGUAGCCGGUCUGAGAGGAUGAACGGCCACAUUGGGACUGAGACACGGCCCAGACUCCUACGGGAGGCAGCAGUGGGGAAUCUUCCGCAAUGGACGAAAGUCUGACGGAGCAACGCCGCGUGAGUGAUGACGGCCUUCGGGUUGUAAAGCUCUGUUAAUCGGGACGAAUGGUUCUUGUGUGAAUAGUGCGAGGAUUUGACGGUACCGGAAUAGAAAGCCACGGCUAACUACGUG